UACGAAGGGAGCUAGCGUUGUUCGGAAUUAUUGGGCGUAAAGCGCGCGCAGGUGGCUUUGCACGUCAGGAGUGAAAGCCUGGGGCUCAACCUCAGAAUUGCUCUUGAUACGGCGAAGCUAGAGUCCGGAAGGGGAAUGCGGAAUACCGAGUGUAGAGGUGAAAUUCGUAGAUAUUCGGUGGAACACCAAUGGCGAAGGCAGCAUUCUGGUACGUGACUGACACUGAGGCGCGAAAGCGUGGGGAGCAAACAGG
rnacentral:rRNA from 1 species